CAGAAUUCAACUCUUGUAAUCAUAGCAAAACUCUCGCUCUUCUCUUCCUCUCUCUCUCUUCAUUCCAUGUCUGAAACUAUAUCAGCAGCAGAUCCCAUACACAAGCCAUUACUCACCUCAGCAACAAUGGGUUUGGAAGAAUUUCAAGACCCACCAAAGAAAACUUACUGGAGAUGGAGCAAGCAAGAUUUCUUCCCGGAACCCUCUUUCGAAAACCUCGUCACCUACAGAAAUGCUCUAUCUCACACCUUUCCUCGCCUCAAGGAUCGUCUCCUCUCUCGCUCUACCGACACCAAUGAACUCGUCACUCUCCAGAAAGAGAGCGAAAACCCCAUGCGCAAAUGCCUCAAUUGGUGGGACCUCAUGUGGCUUAGCUUCGGUUCGGUUGUUGGGUCUGGCAUCUUCGUUAUCACCGGCCAAGAAGCUCGUGAUGAUGCUGGUCCUGCUGUAGUUCUUUCUUAUGCUGUCUCUGGUAUCUCUGCAUUGCUUUCGGUCUUCUGUUACGCUGAGUUUGCUGUUGAGAUUCCUGUCGCAGGUGGGUCUUUCUCCUAUCUUCGGAUUGAAUUGGGUGACUUGAUUGCUUUUCUUGCUGCUGGGAAUAUUCUUUUGGAGGC
rnacentral:misc_RNA from 1 species